GGGUCCCUACGGGGCGCAGCAGUGAGGAAUAUUGGUCAAUGGUCGGGAGACUGAACCAGCCAAGCCGCGUGAGGGAGGAAGGUACAGAGUAUCGUAAACCUCUUUUGUCAGGGAACAAAGGCGCCCACGGGUGGGCGGAUGAGUGUACCCGAAGAAAAAGCAUCGGCUAACUCCGUGCCAGCAGCCGCGGUAAUACGGAGGAUGCGAGCGUUAUCCGGAUUUAUUGGGUUUAAAGGGUGCGUAGGCGGACAGUCAAGUCAGCGGUAAAAAUGCGGUGCUCAACGCCGUACAGCCGUUGAAACUGG
rnacentral:rRNA from 1 species